AGCCUAAGCGUGCCCUAGUAACCUUCGCAAAAAGGAAGAGAGGGGUUCCCCUUUUGGCCCUGGCCCAGUGACUUUGCUGUUUCUUCCUUGGAGAGACCUGGCUUUGGGCGAUGGGGGGAUAAGGGGAUUAGAGCAGUGGCUCUCAUAGGGUGGUCUGAGGGGCCCUGUGGGUCCGAAGAUCCUUUCAAAACUAGUUUCAUAGUAAUGGUAGGAUUUCGUUUCCCUUUCUUAACUCUCGCUGAAAUUUUCCAGAGAACUGAUGUGUGAUGACGUCAUCGCUCUCAUGACUAAAGGAAUGUGUGCUUGUAUUGUGUUUUCUAGAAUUUCCUAAGCUUCCAGAAUGUUCCACAUUUGUUGAAAACUACAAACAAACAUAUCCAAGAAUCCCAGUGAAUGCCAAGCAGCAUAAACACAAAGAAAACCACAUCAAGGCACUGCGGAAUCAAAUUUCUCAAAACUAGUGAUGCAGAGAAAAUCUUAAGUUAAGACUAAUCACUGGUUUCUCAUCAAAAACUAUGCAAACCAGAAGAUGGUGGAACAACAUCUCUAAAGCAUGGGAAGAAUGCUUUCAACCCAGAAUUUUAUAUCCAGUGAAAAUGUCCUUCAAAGAUGAAGGCAAAAUGAAGACAUUUCAGAUAAGCGAAAGCCAAGAGCAUUCAUCACUAGUGAACUUGUACCACAAGGAAUGCUAAAAGAAGUUCUUCAGGUUAAAGGAAAAUGAUACCAGAUGGACACAAGAAUCUAUGCAAAGGAAUGAAGAGUACCAGAAAUGUUUUCUGACAUCAGAAGUGGUAUCCAAAGAAGACCCUCAACAACUCUGAGGCCAGUGAGCAACCACGUGCUGGUACCCACUGGGCCCAUUGAGCUCACCACUUUCUUGCCAACCUUGCAGUCAGCCUGAAUGUUGCUCUCUUUGCAUGUUGAGCUCUCGGAAUUUAUUGUGCAUACCCGUAUUCUGUUUGUUGAAGCUUCUUGAAGAAGAAAGGAAAAAGAAGAAGGCAAAACCUUAAUGAAUAUAGAAAGAUGCAAAAGGCAAAAUGCUUCAUCUUCAAAGAGAUUUAUGGAAAAGAUAUUAACAAGUACUCUAGAAUACAAGUUUCUGAUAACUUUAAGAUCAUAACACUGAACUGGGUAAGAAUUUCUAAGACUCUACUGGAAAAGUGAUUGGUUCAUAAAGGUACUAACCCAAGAUGAAGCAAAACAAAAAUUAAUUACAGGAGACUGAAUGAACUGAUGAAGAUGAUUAUAACUUUUAUGACUUCAUUUUAAAUAUUGCUGGUUGUUUAAUGUUUUGUUUUCCAGAUUUAAAGGACUCCUUUUGCUCCUCUCUUUUAAGCUAUUGAUAUUUAUAACUUGACAGCAAUUUGAGAAAGUAUACUUUUGUAAACAAAAGUUGAAACAUUUAUCUUUUUCUCCCUACCUAAUCCCUCCAGAAUUCAGAAACUCUUAUUAAAUACUCUUCUUUUCAUGACAA